UAGGGAAUAUUGCACAAUGGGCGAAAGCCUGAUGCAGCAACGCCGCGUGCGCGAAGAAGGCCUUCGGGUUGUAAAGCGCUUUUCUGGGAGAUGAGGAAGGACAGUAUCCCAGGAAUAAGGCUCGGCUAACUACGUGCCAGCAGCCGCGGUAAAACGUAGGAGCCAAGCGUUAUCCGAAUUCACUGGGCGUAAAGCGCGUGCAGGCGGCCUGGUAAGUUGGAUGUGAAAUCUCCUGGCUCAACUGGGAGAGGCCGUUCAAUACUGUCAGGCUAGAGGGCGACAGAGGAGGUGGAAUUCCGGGUGUAGUGGUGAAAUGCGUAGAUAUCCGGAGGAACACCGAGAGGCGAAGGCGACCGUCCUGGGUCGCGACCUGACGCUCAGACGCGAAAGCUAGGGGAG
rnacentral:rRNA from 1 species